rnacentral:tRNA from 1 species
GGUCCUGUAACUCAGUUGGUUAGAGUGCCUGACUCAUAAUCAGGGAGUCGUAGGUUCAAGCCCUACCGGGACCA